CAGUCGCCACGGUAAUGCGUAGGUGGCGAGCGUUGUCCGGAAUUAUUGGGCGUAAAGGGAGCGCAGGCGGACAUAUAAGUCCAUCUUAAAAGUGCGGGGCUCAACCCCGUGAGGGGAUGGAAACUGUAUGCCUUGAGUGUAGGAGAGGAAAGCGGAAUUCCCAGUGUAGCGGUGAAAUGCGUAGAUAUUGGGAGGAACACCAGUGGCGAAGGCGGCUUUCUGGACUGUAACUGACGCUGAGGCUCGAAAGCCAGGGGAGCGAACGGGAUUAGAUACCCGCGUAGUCCCUGUCUCUUAUACA
rnacentral:rRNA from 1 species